GUGAGGAAUAUUGGUCAAUGGGCGGGAGCCUGAACCAGCCAAGUCGCGUGAAGGAAGAAGGAUCUAUGGUUCGUAAACUUCUUUUGCAGGGGAAUAAAGUGCAGGACGUGUCCUGUUUUGUAUGUACCCUGAGAAUAAGGAUCGGCUAACUCCGUGCCAGCAGCCGCGGUAAUACGGAGGAUCCGAGCGUUAUCCGGAUUUAUUGGGUUUAAAGGGUGCGUAGGUGGUUUGAUAAGUCAGCGGUGAAAGUUUGCAGCUUAACUGUAAAAAUGCCGUUGAAACUGUCGGUCUUGAGUGUAAAUGAGGUAGGCGGAAUGCGUGGUGUAGCGGUGAAAUGCAUAGAUAUCACGCAGAACUCCGAUUGCGAAGGCAGCUUACUAAGCUACAACUGACACUGAAGCACGAAAGCGUGGGGAUCAAACAGGAUUAGAUACCCGGGUAGUCC
rnacentral:rRNA from 1 species